rnacentral:rRNA from 1 species
UUUGACGAUGUCGUCGGCGAGGAAACCC